AUAUUCUGCUUUCAAGAUGGCGAACGGGUCAAACAUAAGAAAAUAUCGUGCAAUAUUUUUAUAAAUUAUAAAUCGUGCGAUCGAAUCUUCAUAUUUAUCAUGACAAUUUUAAAAAAGGAUCAAUUUGAAGCUGUUAUCAUAAAAAAGUGACCUCUUUUGAGGAUUCAUCAAGUUGCUCGAAUAGGAUAUUUCUUUAUUUUCCCCUAGCUGUGGACGCCGAAGGGAGCAGGUCUAUCAGGUUCUUCCAUGUUGGCAACUGCAGCGAUGAUCCAAGCUCCAGAAACCGAUGGCGGAAAGUGACAUCGGUUGAGAUCGGUGUUUGGCCACGUAUGUCGAGAAUCAUCACUUAAAAAUUAAUGCAUUUUUAUGUUUCUUGCUCAAAAGAGUUGAAUAAUAAUAAUUGAAAAACAAAAUCUUGACUUUGACAUAUUCAACAAAACAAAACAUUAUGGAACGGUAAAAAGAUGGAUUCAAUCAACAAUCGUGAUGUUUCAACCAACCUAUCAUGAUAGUUCCUUUGACAAUCAUGUUUGUUGGUUUGAUAAAAGUGAUUAUAAAAAUUACAAACAAACAACGUUUUGAUGACAACAAUCUCGUUUGUUGAGCCCACAA